AGCGAACGCUGGCGGCAGGCCUAACACAUGCAAGUCGAACGGAUCCUUCGGGGUUAGUGGCGGACGGGUGAGUAACACGUGGGAACGUGCCUUUUGGUUCGGAAUAGCUCCUGGAAACGGGUGGUAAUGCCGAAUGUGCCCUUUGGGGGAAAGAUUUAUCGCCAUUAGAGCGGCCCGCGUCUGAUUAGCUAGUUGGUGAGGUAAAGGCUCACCAAGGCGACGAUCAGUAGCUGGUCUGAGAGGAUGACCAGCCACAUUGGGACUGAGACACGGCCCAAACUCCUACGGGAGGCAGCAGUGGGGAAUCUUGCGCAAUGGGCGAAAGCCUGACGCAGCCAUGCCGCGUGAAUGAUGAAGGUCUUAGGAUUGUAAAAUUCUUUCACCGGGGACGAUAAUGACGGUACCCGGAGAAGAAGCCCCGGCUAACUUCGUGCCAGCCGCCGCUGUAAGAC
rnacentral:rRNA from 1 species